rnacentral:rRNA from 1 species
GUUAAAAAGCUCGUAGUUGGAUUUCGGGUGUCAUCUGCCGGUCCGCCGUUUCGGUGUGCACUGGCGGGCGUCAUCUUUCUGUCGAGGACGCGCUCUGUCCUUCACUGGUCGGACGCGGAGUCGGCGAAGUUACUUUGAAAAAAUUAGAGUGUUCAAAGCGGGCUUACGCUUGAAUAUAUUAGCAUGGAAUAACACUAUAGGACUCCUGUCCUAUUUUGUUGGUCUUCGGGACGGGAGUAAUGAUUAAGAGGAACAGUUGGGGGCAUUCGUAUUUCAUUGUCAGAGGUGAAAUUCUUGGAUUUAUGAAAGACGAACUUCUGCGAAAGCAUUUGCCAAGGAUGUUUUCAUUAAUCCAGAACGAAAGUUGGGGGCUCGAAGAUGAUUAGAUACCAUCCUAGUCUCAACCAUAAACGAUGCCGACU